AUUGAACGCUGGCGGCAGGCCUAACACAUGCAAGUCGAGCGAGCGGCGGACGGGUGAGUAAUGUCUGGGAAACUGCCUGAUGGAGGGGGAUAACUACGGGAAACGGUAGCUAAUACCGCAUACCAUACGAUGUGCCCAGAUGGGGUUAGCUAGUAGGUGGGGUAACGGCUCACCUAGGCGACGAUCCCUAGCUGGUCUGAGAGGAUGACCAGCCACUCUGGAAAUGGGACACGGUCCCGACUCCUACGAGAAGCAGUAGUGGUGAAUAUUGCACAAUGGGCGCAAGCCUGAUGCUGCCAUGCCGCGUGUGUGAAGAAGGCCUUCGCGUUGUAAAGCACUUUCAGCGGCGAGGCGUUACCCGCAGAAUAAGCACCGGCUAACUCCUGACCAGCAGCCGCGGUAAUAC
rnacentral:rRNA from 1 species